AGAGGCCUUCUGUGGCUGGGGUGGAACGCUUGCCUCGUCACCGCAGCAACAAAGCAAGCAUUCUGCCAGGCCGCUCACACUGCCCAC
rfam:Myotis brandtii contig308707, whole genome shotgun sequence.